rnacentral:rRNA from 1 species
UACGUAGGGGGCGAGCGUUGUCCGGAUUCAUUGGGCGUAAAGCGCGCGCAGGCGGCUUCGUAAGUCGGCCGUGAAAUCUCCAGGCUCAACUUGGAGGGGUCGGGCGAGACUGCGGAGCUGGAGGCAGGUAGAGGGCGGUGGAAUUCCGGGUGUAGUGGUGGAAUGCGUAGAGAUCCGGAGGAACACCAGUGGCGAAGGCGGCCGCCUGGGCCUGACCUGACGCUGAGGCGCGAAAGCGUGGGGAGCGAUCUGG